UACGUAGGAGGCGAGCGUUGUCCGGAGUUACUGGGCGUAAAGGGUGCGCAGGCGGCGGUUCGCGUGGAUAGAUGAAAUCUCCUGGCUUACCUGGGGAGGAUGGUAUCCAGACGGGGAUCGCUUGAGGGUCGGGAGAGGGGCGUGGAAUUCCGGGUGGAGCGGUGAAAUGCGUAGAUAUCGAGAGGAACACCUGCGGCGAAGGCGGGUUGCUGGGCUGACACUGACGCUGAUGCGCGAAAGCUAGGGGAGCGAACGGG
rnacentral:rRNA from 1 species